GAUCAUGAGCACGUAGCCCCCAGACCUUCUGGGGCCUAAGGAUUGAUCACCAUCAACCAGUCAGAACUGUGUGCAGCUGAUCACAGACCCAGAGACGCCCCUCCCUCACGUGGCCUUUAAAGAUGCUCAGAUCCUUCCAAAAGUUCAGGGUCUUUUUGACACGAGCCUCACGUUUUCCUUGCUCGGCCCAGCAGUAGACCUUUCUCUGCUCCCACCUCCCACGUUUCAGUAUUGUUUGGCCUCACUGUGUGUCAGGUACACGGACUUUUGUUCUUAACAAUGUUCUUCUUUUCUAAAGUAAAUCAUCAGAGAGCUUAUAGCAGAAAGAAGAGGUUGAAAGCCCGAGCUGCUGUUGACACAGAGACAGGCUGCCUUUAUGUCUUCCUGGGCUCCACAGAGAGGAGUCCUGACCUCAUUACUGAGCAAGGCGUUUCCGGUGACUCUGGGGGUGUGGGCAGAAUGGGGAGGGCUCUCCAGCCGUGGGCCGGGCCUGCUCACUAAUGACUAGUCUUUGGAGAUGCAUAAGUGAGUGAGGCAAUUAAAACAAACGGGAUUCUGGGAAGAAGAGUGGAGAGGAGAAAUCCAUGAAAAUGCAAGCAAAGGAGUGGCUCAGCCUCGACUGUGGCCUGUGAAGGUGGUGGUCGGGCCCGGGGCUGGGGGUCCCACGUGCCCUGGCACGUGGCCCAAUGCCCACGCCCAGCAUUGCACGGACAGGCAGGCACACAGCUUCAAGCACACCCAUCACACACAUGCGAGUACUUCUUGUACGUCUGUGAGCAGCAUCUAUGCUGAGGGGAAAAAAAAAGGACGCAUAAAGAAGGAUUGUUUUGCUCAGUGUGUACGUGAACUUUGAUGGAACUUAGUAAAACAUGGAGCCUUUAGUACCAUGACGGAUGGCUCUCCUGGGAGUUGUUUCCUGCCCUCCCUGCGGGGCUGGAGCUCAGGGCUGCAGUGACAGCGCUGGGGAAGAAAGGGACGAACAAUAGGUUCUGUGAGUUCCCGGAGCUGGAGCUGCCCUGCCCGAGUGGGAGGUAGGAGAGCAUCCGUCCUCCGCAGCACAUAACUCAGCGGGGGGCGGGGCAGGCUGGUGGCACCUGGAAGUGGCGAGGGGGUAAAGUGAGCGAAUUACGAGAGUGCACUCGAAUCACCCAGCGUGCUGAGGAUUGCUUGUGUCAACAGAUUCCGCCGCCGAGAAGCCACACGCCUGGUCAAUUUCCUGACCAAAUCCAGGACCCGCUCCUCCACACUGGGCAUCACAGGUCACCGGCCGGCUCAGCAAACAAGGAGCCUUUUCACUCCUUUAAAAGGAGUUUGUUUUGUUUGUUUGAAUUUUUAAAAUUUUAAUACAGUUCAGUCAGCGGGACUGGUGGCUCGGCUCCUUCCCUGGGAACCCGGGGCAGGGCCGCCGCGCCUCUCUGCCUCCCCUUGGUCUGGGACGGCCACCGUGGAAAGGGAACUGCUCUUUCCAACUUUCAGCUUCACGUCAUCUCACUUUUUUUGCUUUUAACAGAUCUUUCCCCUGGCUGCGAGCAGGAGGUUCUCCGCUCCGUGAGCUUUGUGGCAGGUGGCGAGGAGGCAGCAGGGAGAGAGGAGGGCCCACACGUCCUGGAGUCACAAAGCAAGAAGACUGCCCAGCUACAGGAGAGGUUUCUGAAGACCCACUUCUCCACGUUUUGGGGGCGAGUUUUCACAGAAAGCUCAAGAAGUAGAUGGAGCCAGCAACCUGGUUGGGGAAGGCAAGGUUAUUGGCCGAAUCUGGCCGUUAGCAGUUCUACCCCAGGAGAACUUGGAGCUUGGGGCCCCAGUCCCCAGCGGCACGGGAGUGACAGCCCAGAGGGAACAGCAGACAUGUCGACAGCUCAACCUGCUCGGGUAAAGUUCCUGAAUUCCUGGUAGGUGCUUCCCAGAGCUCAGUAAGUAUGGCCUAUUAUUGUUACAGCAAUUGGGAAACACACUCUUAGGUCCCAGGAGAAGACGCAGGGGUGGUGGAGGGGAAGGCAGCGGGAAGAAGGGGCUAAUGUUAUUGUUCCAGGGUGGAUCAGCACUGACAAGGCUUCUAUAAAAGACGGGUGGGACAUGCUGGUUUAAGGAACGAAUGUCUCCCAAAUCCAGCCUUCUUGGGAGUCUCAUGAGGCCUGGGCCAAUGGCAUGAAAGAGCAGAGUGGUAACAGCACAGAGGACUAAGGCCAGAGAUGCAGAGGCCCGCCGCGCCUUCUCCUUAGGGGCGUUAGGAAGAGAGAUCCAGUAGGUGUGUGAGAGACACAGGAAUGGAUGGCUUUUAACUUAAGUGGAGUGAAAACAGAUUACUGCGUUGGAAAACUGCUGGGAAGCCAGCCACCAAUUAAAACACCAGAAAAGUCCUCGCUGUUGAAUGAAACUCAAGACAAGCAUACAGGGAUCUUUCUGAACCAGCUUAUGCCUUCUGAGUUCACGGCUAAACCCUCCUAAUUAGCAGUGAGAAGUCUUUGGAUAGUGGAAAGGACGCCCCCAAGACCCCCCCAGCCCCCAAAUUAAGUCAAAAUGGUGGUCACAAAAUUGGCACCUUACUGAUCACUCGCCAUUUUUUUCCUUU